UACGUAGGGUGCGAGCGUUGUCCGGAAUUACUGGGCGUAAAGAGCUCGUAGGUGGUUUGUCGCGUUGUUCGUGAAAACUCACAGCUUAACUGUGGGCGUGCGGGCGAUACGGGCAGACUGGAGUACUGCAGGGGAGACUGGAAUUCCGUGGGUGUAGCGGUGGAAUGCGCAGAUAUCAGGAGGAACACCGGUGGCGAAGGCGGGUCGCCGUG
rnacentral:rRNA from 1 species